rnacentral:rRNA from 1 species
AGACCCGAAACCCGGUGAUCUAGCCAUGGGCAGGUUGAAGGUUGGGUAACACUAACUGGAGGACCGAACCGACUAAUGUUGAAAAAUUAGCGGAUGACCUGUGGCUGGGGGUGAAAGGCCAAUCAAACCGGGAGAUAGCUGGUUCUCCCCGAAAGCUAUUUAGGUAGCGCCUCGUGAACUCAUCUCCGGGGGUAGAGCACUGUUUCGGCUAGGGGGCCAUCCCGGCUUACCAACCCGAUGCAAACUGCGAAUACCGGAGAAUGUUAUCACGGGAGACACACGGCGGGUGCUAACGUCCGUCGUGAAGAGGGAAACAACCCAGACCGCCAGCUAAGGUCCCAAAGUCAUGGUUAAGUGGGAAACGAUGUGGGAAGGCCCAGACAGCCAGGAUGUUGGCUUAGAAGCAGCCAUCAUUUAAAGAAAGCGUAAUAGCUCACUGGUCGAGUCGGCCUGCGCGGAAGAUGUAACGGGGCUAAACCAUGCACCGAAGCUGCGGCAGCGACACUUUAGUGUUGUUGGGUAGGGGAGCGUUCUGUAAGCCGUUGAAGGUGUCCUGUGAGGGGUGCUGGAGGUAUCAGAAGUGCGAAUGCUGACAUAAGUAACGAUAAAGCGGGUGAAAAGCCCGCUCGCCGGAAGACCAAGGGUUCCUGUCCAACGUUAAUCGGGGCAGGGUGAGUCGACCCCUAAGGCGAGGCCGAAAGGCGUAGUCGAUGGGAAACGGGUUAAUAUUCCCGUACUUGGUGUUACUGCGAAGGGGGGACGGAGAAGGCUAUGUUGGCCGGGCGACGGUUGUCCCGGUUUAAGCGUGUAGGUGUGUGUUCCAGGUAAAUCCGGUUCACUUUAACACUGAGGCGUGAUGACGAGGCACCACGGUGCUGAAGCAACAAAUGCCCUGCUUCCAGGAAAAGCCUCUAAGCAUCAGGUAACAUCAAAUCGUACCCCAAACCGACACAGGUGGUCAGGUAGAGAAUACCAAGGCGCUUGAGAGAACUCGGGUGAAGGAACUAGGCAAAAUGGUGCCGUAACUUCGGGAGAAGGCACGCUGACACGUAGGUGAAGUGAUUUACUCACGGAGCUGAAGUCAGUCGAAGAUACCAGCUGGCUGCAACUGUUUAUUAAAAACACAGCACUGUGCAAACACGAAAGUGGACGUAUACGGUGUGACGCCUGCCCGGUGCCGGAAGGUUAAUUGAUGGGGUCAGCGCAAGCGAAGCUCCUGAUCGAAGCCCCGGUAAACGGCGGCCGUAACUAUAACGGUCCUAAGGUAGCGAAAUUCCUUGUCGGGUAAGUUCCGACCUGCACGAAUGGCGUAAUGAUGGCCAGGCUGUCUCCACCCGAGACUCAGUGAAAUUGAACUCGCUGUGAAGAUGCAGUGUACCCGCGGCAAGACGGAAAGACCCCGUGAACCUUUACUAUAGCUUGACACUGAACAUUGAGCCUUGAUGUGUAGGAUAGGUGGGAGGCUUUGAAGCGUGGACGCCAGUCUGCGUGGAGCCGACCUUGAAAUACCACCCUUUAAUGUUUGAUGUUCUAACGUGGACCCGUAAUCCGGGUUGCGGACAGUGUCUGGUGGGUAGUUUGACUGGGGCGGUCUCCUCCUAAAGAGUAACGGAGGAGCACGAAGGUUGGCUAAUCCUGGUCGGACAUCAGGAGGUUAGUGCAAUGGCAUAAGCCAGCUUGACUGCGAGCGUGACGGCGCGAGCAGGUGCGAAAGCAGGUCAUAGUGAUCCGGUGGUUCUGAAUGGAAGGGCCAUCGCUCAACGGAUAAAAGGUACUCCGGGGAUAACAGGCUGAUACCGCCCAAGAGUUCAUAUCGACGGCGGUGUUUGGCACCUCGAUGUCGGCUCAUCACAUCCUGGGGCUGAAGUAGGUCCCAAGGGUAUGGCUGUUCGCCAUUUAAAGUGGUACGCGAGCUGGGUUUAGAACGUCGUGAGACAGUUCGGUCCCUAUCUGCCGUGGGCGCUGGAAGACUGAGGGGGGCUGCUCCUAGUACGAGAGGACCGGAGUGGACGCAUCACUGGUGUUCGGGUUGUCAUGCCAAUGGCACUGCCCGGUAGCUAAAUGCGGAAAAGAUAAGUGCUGAAAGCAUCUAAGCACGAAACUUGCCCCGAGAUGAGUCUUCCCUGAGACUUUGAGUCUCCUGAAGGAACGUUAAAGACGAUGACGUUGAUAGGCCGGGUGUGUAAGCGCAGCGAUGCGUUGAGCUAACCGGUACUAAUGAACCGUGAGGCUUAACCUUACAACGCCGAAGCUGUU